rnacentral:misc_RNA from 1 species
AAGUCGUAACAAGGUUUCCGUAGGUGAACCUGCGGAAGGAUCAUUAAUGAAUUUUUGAAGGGGUUGUAGCUGGCUCGCAAGGGCAUGUGCACACCCCGUUCAAUCCAUCUCACCCCUGUGCACCACAAUGUAGGGAUGGCGGACCGUGAGGUCUUCCGUCUCUAUGUCAUUUACAAACUCGAUAGUAUCAGAAUGUAAACGCGUGUAACGCAUCUUAUACAACUUUCAGCAACGGAUCUCUUGGCUCUC